rnacentral:rRNA from 1 species
CAGCAGCCGCGGUAAUACGUAGGGGGCGAGCGUUGUCCGGAUUUACUGGGCGUAAAGGGUGAGUAGGCGGUUAUAUAUGUCAGAUGUAAAAGGCUAUGGCUUAACCAUAGUUGGCAUUUGAAACUGUAUGACUUGAGUGCAGGAGAGGUAAGUGGAAUUCCUAGUGUAGCGGUGAAAUGCGUAGAUAUUAGGAGGAACACCAGUGGCGAAGGCGACUUUCUGGACUUAAACUGACGCUGAGGAACGAAAGCGUGGGGAGCAAACAGGAUUAGAUACCCUGGUAGUCCACGCCGUAAACGAUGAGUGCUAGGUGUCGGGUAGAAAUAUUCGGUGCCGCAGCUAACGCAAUAAGCACUCCGCCUGGGGAGUACGUACGCAAGUAUGAAACUCAAAGGAAUUGAC